GCCUAGUUAGCUUAGUUGGUAGUGCGUCUGCCUUGUAAGCGCUAGGCCGCGGGUUCGAUUCCCGUCCGAGGCG
rnacentral:tRNA from 1 species